AAGUCGUAACAAGGUUUCCGUAGGUGAACCUGCGGAAGGAUCAUUAAUGAAUGUUUAGGGGGUUGAUGCUGAUUCUUAACUGAAUAUGUGCUCGCCUCCGACAAUCCUUAUCCAUACACCUGUGCACCUUAUUGAGGCGAGUCUUUAUGGACUAGUCUCUCUUAAUCACACACCCCUUUUGUCUAAUUAUGAACGUGAAUUGUGCCGAAAGGCCUUAAAUCAAAAUACAACUUUUAACAACGGAUCUCUUGGCUCUC
rnacentral:misc_RNA from 1 species